UUCCCCUCCCGAGCUGUGGAGCUCACUGCUCUUUCCUCAGAGAGGGCUGAGGUGUCUGGGGAAGGUUGGCUGUGGUCCAGAAGAUGACGCUGUUGGGUCUUCUCCUGUGUCUGGUGACAGUUCUUCAAGGUGUCCUGUCUCAGGUGCAGCUGCAGGAGUCGGGGCCUGGCCUGGUGAAGCCCGCGGAGACCCUGACCCUUACCUGCAAAGUCACUGGUUACUCCAUCACCAGUGGUUACUGGUGGAGCUGGAUCCGUCAGCCCCCAGGAAAGAGCCUGGAGUGGAUGGGGGGCAUAUAUUCCAGUGGUAGCACUAGCUACAGCCCAUCCCUCAAGAGCCGCAUGUCCAUCUCCAGAGACACGGGCAAGAAUGAAUUCUCUCUGCAGCUGAACUCUGUUACGGCGGAGGACACAGCCGUGUAUUACUGUGCAAGAGACACAGUGAUCUGA